CAAAAUGUAACUUAAUAAAAGUCCCUUGCUUACACCAAGCCCAUAUCUGUUAGACCCAGAUCAUUUUGAG
rnacentral:tRNA from 1 species